rnacentral:rRNA from 1 species
UACGGAGGGGGCUAGCGUUGUUCGGAAUUACUGGGCGUAAAGCGCGCGUAGGCGGACCUGCAAGUCGGGGGGUGAAAGCCCGAGGCUCAACCUCGGAACUGCCUUCGAUACUGCGGGUCUCGAGUCCGGGAGAGGUGAGUGGAAUUCCUAGUGUAGAGGUGAAAUUCGUAGAUAUUAGGAAGAACACCAGUGGCGAAGGCGGCUCACUGGCCCGGUACUGACGCUGAGGCGCGAAAGCGUGGGGAGCAAACAGGGAUUAAGAAACCCUG